rnacentral:rRNA from 1 species
GAUGAACGCUGGCGGCGUGCCUAAUACAUGCAAGUCGAGCGAACAGACGAGGAGCUUGCUCCUCUGACGUUAGCGGCGGACGGGUGAGUAACACGUGGAUACCCUCCCUAUAAGACUGGGAUAACUUCGGGAAACCGGAGCUAAUACCGGAUAAUAUAUUGAACCGCAUGGUUCAAUAGUGAAAGACGGUUUUGCUGUCACUUAUAGAUGGAUCCGCGCCGCAUUAGCUAGUUGGUAAGGUAACGGCUUACCAAGGCAACGAUGCGUAGCCGACCUGAGAGGGUGAUCGGCCACACUGGAACUGAGACACGGUCCAGACUCCUACGGGAGGCAGCAGUAGGGAAUCUUCCGCAAUGGGCGAAAGCUUGACGGAGCAACGCCGCGUGAGUGAUGAAGGUCUUCGGAUCGUAAAACUCUGUUAUUAGGGAAGAACAAAUGUGUAAGUAACUAUGCACGUCUUGACGGUACCUAAUCAGAAAGCCACGGCUAACUACGUG